UAAUUUUGUAAAAUUUGAUCAGUCCGUUUUUGCGGCCUGAAAUGAUGCUGAGCGCCUGUUGUUUCGGUUCACGGUCUACUGCAGGACCUCGGUUGCUCUGAUUUGUUCGGGUACGCGUCAAGAUGGAUUUGGUUUCUAGUUGCAAGGACAAGUUGGCAUAUUUCCGGAUAAAAGAGCUUAAAGAUGUUCUCAGUCAGCUAGGUCUUGCAAAGCAAGGGAAGAAGCAGGAUCUUGUGGACAGAAUUUUGGCUGUGCUGUCUGAUGACCAAGGUAACAACUUGGAUUCACUAUUAACCUUUCAACUUUUGUGGA